rnacentral:lncRNA from 1 species
UGCUUCAUGAUGGUGUUAGAAGGUCCUGCCAGAUACCCUGGAGGGGAUGGUUUGUCCUUUCUGUAAUGAUGAAAAUAAUAUCUCUCCUGCAGGUUUAAUAACAAAAUGCAGUGCAAAAACUCCAGGUACUAGCCAAGUCAUGUGACAUGAGACAUGGGAUCAGCUUAUCUCACAGACCCAGACUUAGAGCCCUGUGCCAGCCUGACAACGAGUGGACAAUCCAGGAGGAUUUGAGUAUUUCCUGCAGCUAUUCAACAAAUACAGAAAGAGCUCCUUAAAGUUUCUGGCUAUAGCCCAGCCUUCCAGCUCCCUGACUCAGAUGGGACCUGUC